UACAGAGGGGGCAAGCGUUGUUCGGAAUUACUGGCCGUAAAGGGCGCGUAGGCGGCCUGUUAAGUCGAACGUGAAAUCCCCGGGCUCAACCCGGGAACUGCGUCCGAAACUGGCAGGCUUGAAUCCGGGAGAGGGAUGUGGAAUUCCAGGUGUAGCGGUGAAAUGCGUAGAUAUCUGGAGGAACACCGGUGGCGAAGGCGGCAUCCUGGACCGGCAUUGACGCUGAGGCGCGAAAGCCAGGGGAGCAAACGGG
rnacentral:rRNA from 1 species